CCUGAAUACACGCACAUACUUGUCUGUACGAUCAUGUUACUCAGGUCUUGUUACAGAUGUUACCGAGUUGGCACGUCCGCAGUGGUUGUCGGCGUUGUUAGGGAGGUCACGUGUGUAGUCGUUGUCGUUCACUUUCGAUUUCGGUUUUUACAAAGAACGAUUGUCGUCAGAGUGAAAAAUUUCUAUACGAUGAGUGUUUAGCGAAAGUAAUCUGUCAUACAGAGUGUUGCCUCUCUGAUAUCGACUGUUAAAAAUGAAUGGUGAAAAAAGGAGACAGGACACAACUCAGAAGACAGAUCUAAACAAGAAUCAAGCAAGUGAUACCCCUAAAUCUCAGAAUUCGACCCCGCAACAGAUUCAAAAACAGCAACAACAAAAUGAUCAACAAAGGCAGCAACUAAAAGAUAAACAAGGGCAGCAACCAAACGAUCAACAAAGGCAACAACAAAAAGAUAAACAAGAGCAGCAACAAAACGAUCAACAAAGGCAGCAACAAAAAGAUAAACAAGAGCAGCAACAAAAAGAUAAACAAGAGCAGCAACAAAAAGAUAAACAAGAGCAGCAACCAAACGAUCAACAAAGACAGCAACAAAACGAUCAACAAAGGCAACAACAAAAAGAUAAACAAGAGCAGCAACCAAACGAUCAAGAAAGGCAGCAACAAAAAGAUAAACAAGAGCAGCAACCAAACGAUCAACAAAGGCAACAGCAAAAAGAUAAACAAGAGCAGCAACAAAACGAUCAACAAAGGCAGCAACAAAAAGAUAAACAAGGGCAGCAACCAAACGAUCAACAAGAGCAUCAACAAAAAGAUAAACAAGAGCAUCAACAAAAAGAUAAACAAGAGCAUCAACAAAAUGAUCAACAAGAAAAUCAACAACCGCCAGAGGAGACAGAAGCCAGUGAGGACAACAUUCAUGAAAACAACAAACGACUGGGCAAGUGUCUCCUGCUCUGGAAAGCGACCGCUCAAGCUCACUAUAGAGCCCUGGGUGUCAGCCGUAAAAACGAAAAACGGAUGAAGAGUAACCUCGACUACACGCUCGACAGGAAUAUUUUUUUGAAACGAGCUUUAGAAGACUCUAGGAAACAAGCUGAGACCGAGAGGAGUAAAAAUGUGACUGAGAUAGCGGCUAAGACAAGACAGGUAGAAGAGCUCAGCCAAAAGCUUGAAAUCUUGCAAUCAAAAGUUGAGACGCGUGACAAAGAAAACGAUGAGCUCCUCAAGCAAAAAGAAGAGAAGCAAAACGAAAAUCGACAAACUUCAACGUCAGCUUCUAAAAUAUCAAGCUGUGGCGGUUAAACUCGGUCUCCACGUGACACAGCUCCAACAGACCGAGGACGAACUUCGUGGACACUUGCGCUUUCUUGAAGAUCAAAAGACAGCCUUAGAAAACAAUGUGACUGCACUUCAGCAGGAGAAGGAAACUCUACAGAUACAAGUGAUGCAAGCUGUGACAGAAUAUGAGAAAGUGAGGAAACAGGCCGACACCCAGGGUACUUACAUCAACCAACUUACAG
rnacentral:misc_RNA from 1 species